rnacentral:lncRNA from 1 species
GUUGGGUCAUUUUGUUGGGUUAUUUUCAUAGAGUUGGGUUGUUUUUUUCCUACCCAGCAGGUUGGGUCAAAACCACUGAGCUCAACUGUCAGCAGCGGCCAUUACUGCUCCUCCACCUCCUCCGAUUGAAACUGCUCAUAAAGAUCAACUUUACCCUCUCCAUGUGGGACCUCCAGAGCUGAUAAAUGCCACUAAAGCUUUACAGAAAACAAACUCUCCUGAGCUCAUCCAACAGCUCUGUCUGUCUGAAGAUCAUCAUCUGCAUCACUGGACACCAGUCCCAUGGAAUCUUCAGCUCAGUGGAAGUGUCCGCCUGCCUCUGAGACGAUGCCUCUGUUACUUCACCAAGUGGUCUCUGCUGCUGUAGACUGCAGUGUCCUCAGCCCUGUCCCUGCUCUGUCUCCUGCUGCAGUGUCCCCAGCCCUGUCUCCUGCUUCAGACUGAACUUUUCCCAGCCCUGUCCCUGCUGUGACUGAACUGUCCACAGCCCUGUCUCUGACUCUGAAAAGGACCACUUCACCAAAAUACAGCAAGUACAAUAUGGACAAUGGGGACUUUCC